GCCACUGCACCCAAACUAGAUUUAACCAUAUUUUUUAUAAAGGGAGGGGUGUGUGUGUGUGUGUUUCACUACUGUUUCCUCUCCUCCAAUUUUUUCUACCUUGAAGUCUAUGUUCUGAAUCAUUUUUUUAUUUACAGUCAUUUUCCCAGAACAUUGCUUGGUGAUUUUUCAUCUGAAUUUUUACAUUUUAACAAGUAUCAUUCUUCCAUUUUGGUUGGUGAAUGAUUGGAUGUAGGAUUUGAGGGUUGUAUGGCUUUUCUCUCAGAGAUAUUGUAAGGGUCCUUGCUGAGUUUAAAAUGAGGAAACUGAGGCCAGUAUAAGUAAAUUAAAUGCCAAUUUAUUCAGCUCCCAGGUGAGGUUCUGUGGUCCCGGGGAAAGGGGCCAGAGAAGUCACACUGACUUCCUGAGGCGUAGGCUGUUUAUAGCUAUAGAGAGCGAGGAGGAGCAGGGUGUUCUGAUUGGUUAUGGGGGAGCGGGGCGUGGAUGGGACAAGCUGCUGUUGGUAGGUAGAUUGUUGGGUGGGAUUUCCCUAAUGCAAGAUCCGGCUUGGGUUACAUUAGCCGGAUCCUUCCAGGAGAGCAUGUGCUCCUGAGGUAGGUUCCGGGCGCAGAGAUGGGUGGGUGUGUCCGAGCUCCUGGGGAGACAACCGGCCUUACAUUCCGACCCUUUUGAUGAUAUAGGAUACCGCUUCUUUCUGGCUACUUCCUGCUGAAUAGGGACGGAGUGAGGGGGAGGGGUCAGUUGGCUGGUGCCUCGGUUGGGAGUUGGACAUAGGGGUGAAACAGUAUCUGGUUUACGGCCACCCUGGAAAUUUCCCUUAUGCGGGCCUGUAAAAA